rnacentral:lncRNA from 1 species
CUGGCCCCCUCAAGCCUUCUCCCUAAAUCAGUCAAGACAACCCGGUGCAGGUGUGCACAGCACUUUACAGUUGGCACGCCCACCUCCUCCAGCCUCCCCCACCUGCCUCCAGUCCCCACUCAGUGAAUCCCAUCGGAGGUUCAUUCACUGAUUGGGUUGAGGCUCUCAUAACCCCAUCAUUUCUCCUGCAGACCCUCUUGCAUCGUCUCACACAUGAGCUUUUGGGGGACACCUCCCAUCCAGACCAUAACACCCACAAUCCUGUUUACUGCUAGCCCCAAGAGACAUUUGUGGCACUGCAAUUUCCAAGGUGUCCACAGAGACAUCUCCCCCUCCACGUUCUCUUCAUUCAAGGUGACACUGAUUGCUCUCCCUGGAGAGGUGGGGUCUCUGCUUCCUUCCCUAGAGUCAGAGUGGCCAUGUGACGGUGGCACAAGGAGUGCUAUGUGACUUUCGAGCCUCAAUCACCCAACACGCACAGCCUCCACCUGUUUCUCUGGGGACACUCGCUCUUGGAGCUCAGCCUCCAUGCUGUGAGGAAGCUCAAGUGCCACAGCUAGGACAAGUGUCCCUUUAAAAAGGACCUAAGGUUUGGCCACCAGCCUGUGCUGCUACUGGGAGGUGGUGAAUCCUUUG